rnacentral:lncRNA from 1 species
UUAUACAUCAGGUAGUUAUAGUGCUGUUAUACAGUCAGGGUAGUUAUAGUGCUGUUAUACAGUCAGGGUAGUUAUAAUGUUAUAGUGCUGUUAUACAGUCAGGGUAGUUAUAAUGUUAUAGAGCUGUUAUACAGUCAGGGUAGUUAUAAUGUUAUAGAGCUGGGGAAGCAGGAUGCUGGUGGUUCUGUAGACAGAGAUGAAUAAUGC